CAUGACAAGUAAUUCAAUGAAGUGAAGAUUUUUCCUAAACAGUUACAUAGACUCUCGUAGAUAAGUACAGACGUCUCCAUACCGAUCAUCGAGACUCUAAUAAAUCGGCAUGUGUCCCGUGACUACUAUGAACCUAGACCUCUGAUACCAACUAUUCACGACCCUAGUUCACCAAUCGUGAACCUUUCAUGAUGGCACCCAGUUUUCGCGAGUAGGUAAGCCUGACACAUUGCGGAAAUUCAACAACCUUUAUGAAAACAGUAAAUAAUACUGAAUAACAUAAGAAAAUGUAUAAGGUGUCGCCUGGAACAUACACUUCAACUCAAACAAUGUAAAAAUCUCCAAGACCCGGAAACCCACGGGCAACACAGGCUAAGAGUAAAAUUUAACAUACAGCUCUAAUAUCCAGAAGUGUCUACAACAACUGACUACAUGAAUGAAACUGCUAAGUAAAAGGUGGAAUAGAAGGAAACUCUUCGGCUCUGCGGACGCGGCAGAUGCAUACCUCAAGUCUCCAUGUGUAACUUCGAAAUAACGGAUAGCACGCCCGACAAGAAGUACCUGGAUCUGCACAACAAAAAUGUGCAGAAGAGUAGCAUGAGUACACCACAGCGGUNNNNNNNNNNNNNNNNNNNNNNNNNNNNNNNNNNNNNNNNNNNNNNNNNNNNNNNNNNNNNNNNNNNNNNNNNNNNNNNNNNNNNNNNNNNNNNNNNNNNNNNNNNNNNNNNNNNNNNNNNNNNNNNNNNNNNNNNNNNNNNNNNNNNNNNNNNNNNNNNNNNNNNNNAUGUCCCAAUUGAUAUGACGGUGCUACAAAAACAUAAGAAUAGAUAUGAAAUGAAUAGACAAUAAUAAAUACAAUAAAUCUCGAGUAUCUAACAAACAAUAAGUAGAAUGGAACAGGCUACAAAUACAAUCUACGAAUACAAGAUCAAACACUCAAAAAUCAGGAUGCCACAUGGAUCUCCGGGAAUUGAACCCGCGGUCCAUUUUACCAAUAUCCGAGGAUCUCCGGUAAUCGAACCCAUUGUCCAUUGCCACAUGGAGCUCCAGGAAUUGAACCUGCAGUCCACUUUACCAUUAUCCGAGGAUCUUCGGGAAUCAAACCCGCAGUCCAUCAUACCAAUAUCAGAAGAUCUCCUAGGAAUCAAACCCGUAGUCCAUCAUGUCAAUCACAAAGGAUCUCUCGAGAAUCGAACUCGUAGUCUAUCAUAUCAAUAACAGAAGAUCUCUCGCGAAUCGAACACGUAGUCCAUCAUAUAAAUAAACACAUCACAAUAAUUCAAUACCUUACAGAAAGAAGCUAAGUACAAGCAACAUGUAAAAAUCUAGAGUCUAGCAUGCUCACAAAAAGGACAGAUAUUGUAAUUUAGUCAACUAGAGCAAAUAAGUUACUAGCAUGCUUUUCCUAAGCUAAAACAAGUAAAAUUGCAUUUUUGACAGUUAAAUAGGUGAAGAAACACAGUCUAAAUAAGUCAAGUAAGGUGGAUUUUUUAACAACUAGCACAGUGCAUGCCCGUCAUCUCACGCAUAAGGCAUUUAAACAACAAUAAAGAUAUCCUAAGGGGAGAGGUCCCCCACACAAGGUUGGACAAGCCACUUACCUCGAACCGGUACAAAACCGCUAAGAAACAAUGCCCUUGCCACGGGUAUCCGACUCCAAAUUUCACACAUCUAUUCAAACCAAUUACAUAUUGUAAAUAACAUGGAAAGUAACUAAUUACACUGUUAAAAUUAAAUUUAUGGCGCGAAAAUAGGUGAAAUGACCAAAAUACCCCUCAAGCCAAAGUCUCGGAAUCGAAUAUAUUUUACAUUUUAAGAAAUCUCGUACUCUCACGAGUCUAACCAUAUAAAAAUCUCCCAAAUUAGAGGUAAAAUGCCCCUUCAAAUCAUCAAAGUUAGGUCUAAGAACAUUACCCUUAUUUAUUGCUAAUACAAUUAUAUUUGCUCACCAAGAAAUACUCAAUUAAUAACACUCCAUGAGAAUGUGACAACCCUGCCCGUCGUCCAUGUGUUAACACCCCGUUUUCCUCGUUUUAUGCUUCUUUAUGUUUCAUCAUACGUGUUUGUAGAGUUUGAAGUGAUUCGGUCAGAGUUUGGUUGGAAUUGAGACAAUUAGUCUCUUUAAGAAAAGGCUAGUUGGNNNNNNNNNNNNNNNNNNNNNNNNNNNNNNNNNNNGAAUUGAGACAAUUAGUCUCUUCAUGAGAAUGUGACAACCCUGCCCGUCGUCCAUGUGUUAACACCCCGUUUUCCUCGUUUUAUGCUUCUUUAUGUUUCAUCAUACGUGUUUGUAGAGUUUGAAGUGAUUCGGUCAGAGUUUGGUUGGAAUUGAGACAAUUAGUCUCUUUAACAGAAGGCUAGUUUGGAAAAGUCAAUCCGACAUUGACUUAUGAGUUAUAGGGCUAGGAAUGGAUUUCUGAAGAUUCGGCUAGUUUUGGGUGGUGAUUUAUGACUUGGGAGAGAAAUCAGAUCUGAAUGUGGAGGUCCUAUGUAGAAUUAGGCUUGAAUUGGCUAAGUUUGAAUAUUGGUGAAUUCCGGUUGAUAGGUGAGAUUUUGAUCUGGGAUCGGAAUGGAAUUUUGAGAGUUGUUGUAACUUCGUUAGGUGAUUUUAGAUAUGUCUGCAAAUUUUCAGGUCAAUCGGAUGUCGUUUGGUCGGGUUGUGGAUCGAAUGUGAGUUUUGGAAGUUUUAGUUUAACUUAGGCUUGAAUCCGUCGUGAAUUGAUGAUUUUUGUGCUGUUGGUCGUGUUUUGAUGAUUGGAACAAGUUCGUAUGAUAUUUUGGGGCAGGUUGGUAUUUUUGUUUGGGGCCUCGCGGUGAUUUCGGAGUUCAAGCAGAUCAUUUUUGGUUGGCUUGGAGAUCACAUUUUGUUGUCAUAAAUGUUGGAGACUUUUGUUCAAUGCGAUCACAGGAGUGGAUUUAAUUAUUAUCAUGCUAUCGAGUGAAUUUAAUGAUUCCCAACUCUAUUUAAAUAUAAAUCUUCCGAAAGUUAUUUUGUUUCAACUUAAACAAUUUAGAUCUUCAACAACCAAAACUUCAUCAAUUUGGUUUUCUCAAAUAGUAGUAAGAAUAUUAUAAGUUUGUAGCUAGAUAUUCCAAUCUCUGUGGGACGAUAUCUUUAACUAUAUUAGAAUUUGACUAAGCACGAGCAGAAAAAUCCUAUACACAUUGGCCUCGUCAAAAAUAUUAACUUGUCGUCAUUCAAUCAAUAUCGAACUCUUCUUUUUGGCGAAGGCCCUUGGCCUUAAAGGGUGUUAUUUCGAACUUGUCGAAUAUUAACCCUUCAUCAUUCCCAGUUUUUGGAGAACCAGGAAUCCUCUGGGGGAGUUCCAGUUCGCUUGAUAUUGUUUGUGUCGGAGAGUGUAAUGUCGGAGAGUACAAAAUGUCGUUGUUUCGUUUAUGUUCGUCUUGUUCACACAUUGGAGUUUCCUUGUCUAAUUCCUACUUUUCGGUCUUGAGAUGUCAUCGGUGGGUGAUAUUUCGGUUGUCUUGAAGUAGUUUCCCAUUCACUGAUUGAGAUGUUUCUUUUCUCGCUCGCCCGCACGACACUUAUGUUCCUACUUGAGCAAAGAGCAGAAGGUGAGUCAAAAUGAUACUUCCCUUACCCCCAUCUGAUGGAUCGGUGAACGAGAGUAGGUUUGUAACGUUGCUCGUUUUGUCUGACAUUUCGACGGUUGAUGGGGCGAUGAUUUCUAAAUUCGUGAUUGUAUUCAGCUCUUUUUCCUCUUCUAUUUUGCCAAUUUGCCCUGCGUGGGUUGGGCUUUGCCUUAUCUCUAUUUUUUGGUGGGUAAUCGUGUUUCUUGUCUUUGAUUUGGAAGAGACUAGGAAAUUUCACUGAAAAAUCCCCAUAGAUGGCGCUAAAUUUUUGACUCAAAAGAUAGUGGAACCUUUUUGAAUAAAUUAAUUAAAAAAAUAAAGGGGUAAAUCUUGGUCAAUCAUGAUAAAUUCCAUAUCAAUAAACUAAUUGAAAAAAUAAUACAUAAGAUGAGAUAGAGGUAACCAAUCUUAUUGAAACUUUCAGUUGUGGAUCCCAUUAAUCAAUGGAGGAAACCUUUUUACAUAUUUUCUUUGAGAAUGCUUUGUUCUUCUUUUCGUUAUGAAGAUUACAUAACAGAGAACUAGGGAGAGAGAAAGAAGUGAAAGACUGCCCCUAUUUCCCGAAGGUUUUCCCCUACUAUAUUUAUAGUCAUGGGACCUUUGCUAUGUAUUUGGUUUGACACCCUUUCACACUGUGUUUGCCUUGGUCAUCCCCUGAACGGUGUUUCUUCUGACUCAAUGGGUAUCGUUGUUUAACCAAAAAGUGGAAUUUCAUUCAAAGCUUUAAUAUCUAAGAACUCGGGUUACUGAUAAUCAAAGAAUGAAUAAAAGAAAAUCAUUUUGCCAAUAGUAAGAUAAUCAGAUGAAAACGAAGUAAACCAGUGUAUUGAGAUAGUUUUUUCGUGUCCUUACAAAUGACUCAAUCUCUUCCUUAUAUAGUUAUCUCCAAGAUAUCCGUUUUGCCUUUGUCAUAAUAAGGUCAUUAUAUACAAUAAUAGAUAUUAAAUGCUACGUUACACAAUUAUUGAGAUUUAAUACAGAUUCUCUAAUGUUUUUAGUAUUUAAUGCUUAUUAAAUAUUGUAUAUGUACUCUUUUGUGCUGUCAGAUUCAUUCUCCUUGAUUUUCGGACAUAAAUAGGUACGAGCGCUGAGUCUAUUGAUUAACCACUCGUGCCUCUUCAUGUUCCCCUGCUCGUAUCUAUUGAAACUCGUACCUCUUUGCCAAUCAUCAUCCUUUGACUAGUCUCCACAUCAUGACUGUCACACCUUCUUUUUCGCUAUACACCCCCGCAAAGGGGCGUAAAGGAGUUUUUCCAAUUAAAGGACAAUCGGAAUAGGAUUUGGUUAUUAAUUCAGAGUCGCCACUUGGGAGAUUAAUGGUGUCCCAAGUCACCAGUUUUGAAUCCCGAUCCGAGGAAAAUGAUGACUUUGUUCACAGUCCGCGAACCAGAAAUCCAGAUAAGGAAUUCUGUUAACCCGGGAGAAGGUGUUAGGAAUUCCCGAGUUCCGUGGUUCUAGCAUGGUCUCUUACUAUUGCAUUUGAUUUUAUCUAACUCUGAUUUUAAUGCAUGCUAACUUAUGUGUGUUUAUUUAUAAACCUCUUUUACCAAUAUUUAUUUUAAAAGACUUGCGACGUCGUGAAAAUGCGCUUCUGACCACGUCGCCAUCAAGGCACACGUGUUCGUCAACACAUUUCGACUUCGUCGAGAUUUGGAUUUGGAUCACAUCAAUGCGCACCCGAGUUUAAGGAAGUAAUUUAAUUAAAUCACGCUUAAAGAUUCUAACGUAAUAUUGUUCGGAAAAGGCCGUUGAAAUUCGCUAAACGGCCCUUAAAAAUUCUAAUUAUUUUUAAUAAUCAAUUACUGAGGGCCUCACAUUUAUUUUUGUUCAGCGAGGCUCGUCUCCAAAAAUAAUCAUUUUUUUAUCAAUGUUUGUUUUAUAAGAAUUGCGACAUCAUGAAAACACGUUUCUAACCCCGUCGCCAUCAAGACAACCGUGGUUAUCAACACAUUUCGACUUCGUCGAGAUUUGGAUUUAGGUCGCAUCAAUGCACACCCGAUUUUAGGAAGGUAAUUUAAUGAAAUCGUGCCUAAAGAUUCCAGCGUAGUAUUAUUUGAGGAAGGCCGUGAAAUUCGCUAAACGACCCUCCCGAAUUUUAAGUAAUUUUAUGUAACCAUUAUUGAGGGCCCCACAUUUUGUGCUUUUACUUAGCGAGGCUCGUCUCAUUUUAUUAUUAAAGUCAAUCCUAAGGCGACUAUGAUUUGUCUAUUUAUUUUUGUCUCUAAAGGAAUAAAGAAAAGGGACCUAACUAGUUUGCAUCCACAUCCCAAUGCUAACUGGAUUAGUGAAUUUACAGAUAUGGAACCAGUCUCAAUUUAUUUCAAAUUCUAAUCAUGUGAAGCUACAACCAUGAGAUCUCGAGUCGUGUACCUCGGUAUGAAGAUUCAAAGAAGAAGAAAAGAUCAGCAGUAGCGGAUAACAAACAGCAGCGCUUUGAGAUAACAAACAACAACAAAUACACAACCCAUAAAAUUGAAGUAUAGCCCAGAAAGAUGUUUGGAAAUCAAACGAAGAGAGGGAUCGACUUGAAUCAACUUCAAAACAGACCAAAUAACCUUGGAAAUCACUCAGACUGAACUCAACAUUUUCCAGAGACCCAGGCUCACUCAAACUUAACUUAAUUGGACUAAAUCUCACACGAAAUCACCUCAAUUUUUUUGAAACCACAACUAUCAGACUUUGAACCUAGAGACUGGAAAUUGAACUAAAAACUCCAAUGGAAUAGUAACUAUUGUUUGGUUUUUCUAUUUUUCUGUGUGUAUUUUUUGUAUUUUUCUAUAUCUAAAAGCUGAAACUAAUCUAAAACUGGAAAUACAAGGAAAAUCAGAAUUUUUCUAUUAGAUUUUUAGGCUGAAAAAGUUAAGAUCCUUUCUCAAGCAAUGAGGGACUCAAAUUAUAGGCCACUCUAGGAUAAAGGACCAGAUUUUAGUUUUCUCUUUUAGUCCUUGUCCAUUUUUCACUUUAAACCUCAAAUUCCUCAAGUUACUCCCUAAGUUUCUGAAAUGUACACUAAAGCCCUAUUCUAGGAGCUUCUAGGAUGCUCUUUGAGCCUCAAAAUACCCAUCCUUUAUCCUACAUUGCAAUUACUAUUUCUCAAUAUACUACCAUUUUCCAUGCUCAAAUUACCCUUUAAACAGUCUAAAAAUUACAUACUAAAAUUAACUUAACCCUCCCCCCUUUUAACUAAAAUCUAACUAAAGCUAAUUAACAAGAGUUUUUCGGCUGCAAAUUAUCUUAAACACUAAUUAACCCUAAUAUCCAAUAAUCAAUUAAAGCCUGAUGAACUGAAAUCGGUCCAAAUCCAACUCUAAAUCCACCUUUGCAUGAACAGAACAAAGAAAAAGCCUGACUAUCUAACAACCAAUUAUUAUCAUAGUGUAUGAAUUAUUAUUAACAAAGUAGACGUGAAGGACAAUGAUAUCACAAUUAAACCAAACAUAUAACGCAAAUAAAUGAAAUUAUAGCGAGAUUAACAAGAACACAGUUGAAUCGAGCACUCAUGAAAUUGAGAGAAACAUAAUAUGACAAAAUUGAACGUAUGACUUGGCUGAUCAAAACAGAUGAAACGAAAAGGAAGAAGAAGAUAAAUAAGCUAUCCUAUUGAAGAAAAAGAAAAUUAUAAAACUAGAAGAUACUCACCACAUAAGUCAUUCAACCCUGAAAUAAACCCCCAAAACAGGUCAAGCUGCAUGAACCCUAAAUCCAACAAUAUGCAAGCUCUACUGAGAUUCAAACAUGCUAGCAUAGAAAAUGUCAUGAGAUAGGCUAGGGGACUGUGGGGUACGAAUUUGGAACCAUUUGGGCAGAUUGCCAUUUUGGGCUCGAACUUCAGUCAAAUAUUCGAGAAGGUGCUGUUGGAUUCAAGGGAAGCUAGUGGCAUGAGUGGAAAGAGGAGAGUGAAAGGAACAAUUGGUGUUAUUUUGGUUGGAUUUGGGGUGAGUUUGUGUUUGGCCCAGAACUUUGAUCUAAAAUUCGAGACUUUUGGUUGAUAUUUGAAGGCCAAUGGUUAUAGAUUUGGGCUGAGGGCGUCGAGGAGAUUUAGGGGUGUAUAUUUGGGCGGGAUUGGAGGUGGAGCCGCCACCCUUAGGCGGUGGGGUUUAGUGGAGGCUUCUCUAGGGUUUUCU
rnacentral:lncRNA from 1 species